UUUAGCGGCGGACGGGUGAGUAACACGUAGGUAACCUACCUAUAAGACUGGGAUAACUUCGGGAAACCGGAGCUAAUACCGGAUAAUAUUUCGAACCGCAUGGUUCGAUAGUGAAAGAUGGCUUUGCUAUCACUUAUAGAUGGACCUGCGCCGUAUUAGCUAGUUGGUAAGGUAACGGCUUACCAAGGCAACGAUACGUAGCCGACCUGAGAGGGUGAUCGGCCACACUGGAACUGAGACACGGUCCAGACUCCUACGGGAGGCAGCAGUAGGGAAUCUUCCGCAAUGGGCGAAAGCCUGACGGAGCAACGCCGCGUGAGUGAUGAAGGUCUUCGGAUCGUAAAACUCUGUUAUUAGGGAAGAACAAACGUGUAAGUAACUGUGCACGUCUUGACGGUACCUAAUCAGAAAGCCACGGCUAACUACGUGCCAGCAGCCGCGGUAAUACGUAGGUGGCAAGCGUUAUCCGGAAUUAUUGGGCGUAAAGCGCGCGUAGGCGGUUUUUUAAGUCUGAUGUGAAAGCCCACGGCUCAACCGUGGAGGGUCAUUGGAAACUGGAAAACUUGAGUGCAGAAAAGGAAAGUGGAAUUCCAUGUGUAGCGGUGAAAUGCGCAAAGAUAUGGAGGAACACCAGUGGCGAAAGCGACUUUCUGGUCUGUAACUGACGCUGAUGUGCGAAAGCGUGGGGAUCAAACAGGAUUAGAUACCCUGGUAGUCCACGCCGUAGAC
rnacentral:rRNA from 1 species